AUUGAACGCUGGCGGGUAUGCCUUACACAUGCAAGUCGAACGGKAGGGGGAGCAAUCCCCCGAGAGKGGSGAACGGGUGAGUAAUACAUCGGAACGUGSCCAGUCGUGGGGGAUAACGUAGCGAAAGCUACGCUAAUACCGCAUACGACCCGAGGGUGAAAGCGGGGGACUCGCAAGAGCCUCGCGCGAUUGGAGCGGSCGAUGGSAGAUUAGGUAGUUGGUGGGGUAAAGGCCCACCAAGCCUGCGAUCUGUAGCUGGUCUGAGAGGACGACCAGCCACACUGGGACUGAGACACGGCCCAGACUCCUACGGGAGGSAGCAGUGGGGAAUUUUGGACAAUGGGCGAAAGCCUGAUCCAGCCAUACCGCGUGCGGGAAGAAGGSCUUCGGGUUGUAAACCGCUUUUGUCAGGGAAGAAAUACCUCGGGUUAAUACCCUGGGGUGAUGACGGUACCUGAAGAAUAAGCACCGGCUAACUACGUG
rnacentral:rRNA from 1 species